AUACGGAGGGGGUUAGCGUUGUUCGGAAUUACUGGGCGUAAAGCGUACGUAGGCGGAUUGGAAAGUAUGGGGUGAAAUCCCAGGGCUCAACCCUGGAACUGCCUCAUAAACUCCCAGUCUAGAGUUCGAGAGAGGUGAGUGGAAUUCCGAGUGUAGAGGUGAAAUUCGUAGAUAUUCGGAGGAACACCAGUGGCGAAGGCGGCUCACUGGCUCGAUACUGACGCUGAGGUACGAAAGUGUGGGGAGCAAACAGGAUUAGAAACCCCAGUAGUCC
rnacentral:rRNA from 1 species